rnacentral:rRNA from 1 species
CCUACGGGAGGCAGCAGUGGGGAAUAUUGCACAAUGGGGGAAACUCUGAUGCAGCGACGCCGCGUGAGUGAAGAAGUACUUCGGUAUGUAAAGCUCUAUUAGCAGGGAAGAAAAAGAUGGUACCUGAUUAAGAAGCCCCGUCUAAUAACGAGCCAGCAGCCGCGGCAAUACGGAGGGGGCAAGCGUUAUCCGGAUUUACUGGGUGUAAAGGGGGCGUAGGUGGGAGGGUAAGUCAGGAGUGAAAUGCCGGGGCUUAACCCCGGAACUGCUAUGGAAACUGUGCAGCUAGAGUGCAGGAGAGGUAAGCGGAAUUCCUAGUGUAGCGGUGAAAUGCGUAGAUAUUAGGAGGAACACCAGUGGCGAAGGCGGCUUACUGGACUGUAACUGACAUUGAGGCUCGAAAGCGUGGGGAGCAAACAGGAUUAGAUACCCUUGUAGUC